CACGACGAUAAACAAGGAAGUCAUAAAAUUACAUGUGUAAUUCAUUUCACCAACCAAAAUAAUUAUGAAAAAAGCCGAAUUACCACAACCACCAACAACUUAAUUUGCUAAAUUUGAUGAAAAUUAACGUGGCUGAUAUACUUUUAUAAUACAGGAACAUCAAGUAAGACUUAAUUGUAGUAGUAAGAUAUAAGUUCCCAUAACAUCAUAAUGAGUGUACACGUGUAAGUUGCUCCAAACGUGUACAUAUAUAUACAUGUAUGUAUGAUAUGUUAGGAUCUAGAUGGGUUUUACCUAUUAAAGAAAUUUGGGCAAAAUACUUUGUUUUGGAAGUUGGAUUGCUGUCGCAUCUGCAUAAUUUGUUCCAUAUCAACGAUGGUGAACGUGGGGUAUAUUAAGGGUAAUUUCAUAAAAUUUCUGUUAUCCCGUUAUUCUCUCAUUUUGUCAUUUCGAAAUCAUAUAGUUGUGUCUCAAUUUUUUUUGUAAAUCAUGCUGAUAUUGAUCUGUUUUCUUAGUGCUUAAGUGAGGGUAUUGAUGUCCUUCAUUUACUGUAUUCUUUAAUCUAAUAGGCCAUUUUUUUCUAUUCUUUAUAAUUUUUGCCUAUAAUUAUUCUCUAUUAUGUAAACCCCUAUUCACGCCCUCAUACGUGAAUAAAAAAGUAAAAUCGAUUUGCGCAACUGAAAUAUUUACGGAACCUUUGUCAUUUUCGUGAAUAAGGUCCCACUUCAGUUUGAGCGAUCCGCGACUGUUAUAUAUUGCUCCAGCACAAGAAAAUUACAUGAACAUGUGGUCUUCGAUAUUUUUUUUUACAUUAGUAGGGCCUGCAUAUAUUUGUCUGAUUUUUUUCUUACAUAAGAGUUCAUGAUGUCUUAUAAAUAUCGAGAUUGUGUUUCGUUCGUAAUAGCUAACCGACAGAUGGCAUAACUGAUGCCCUAGCGAUAGAAAAAAAUAUUAUGAAAAUAUAGUCAACAAGACAUGUUUGUUAUGCCUGCAGAUCUGGAUCGACUUUGUUACAUGACUGUGACUUGCAGGCCUGACUGUUGAACAACAUUUUGUUCAGACAAGGCUGCAGAUGAGGACAUUUGUUUUUUUACCAUCACAUCUUGCAUAGGACAUUUUGUGCAAUAAUAAAUGUGCGGUAGAUUUUAUUUUGAGGAAACGCUUCUAAGAAUGUAAUCUUGUGUGUUGUGUUGAAUUGUAUAACAGAUCAUGCAAUAGAUGCCAUUGAGUAUAAUAAAAAUUAAAGAAGAAAAAAACACAAAAGUCAAAAUGAAACCAUCAGACGAUCUGGUCAAUCAAAAUUUAAACUUUUUAAAACUCGAAAUUUUGACUUUUUUAAGUUAAAAAUUCGACUAAUUAGAUGUUGAAAUUUUGAGACUAUAAGAAACUAGAUAUUUCUACUUUCCUCAAUAGUUCCACUUUGAAAACGUCAUUGAUUGUAGUAAAUUGAGAUAUAUAUUCAUAUAAUUAUUCAUACCAAACUUGAAUAACUUUAAGACAGAACAAUCUUGAUUUUCUGUAACAUGUAUUAUAUACUUAAUAUAUUUAUAAGUAAACGUACAACUUGCGGAUCAAGGCAGUCCGGCCAGCUGACAUAUAUUUUGCCAUACUCUUUUCAACAUCCAAAUAUACAAAUUUUAAUACUCUAUUUACAUUUUGUUUACCUAAACACAGAACCCAAAGACAUUCAUUAUCAAAUAAAUCAUAACAGCCACCUUUCAUGCACCUAACUAUCAGUCUUGUCACCUGUUCUAUAUAAAGAGGGGUAACUCAAAUAUAUUUACUUGAAUGUAAUAAUGACAUAUAAUUAGUAAUACUUAUUUUUGCCUGAACCAUUAGGUUCAGGCUUCAGAAUAUUGGCGAGAUUCGAAAUUUAAUAUCCGGAUUCUAUGUAAAAACGAAACAAUGCGCAUGUCUUGGAGGGAAAAAAACAUUUGCAUUUAAAUAAUUUUAAAAUAAAUAGUUUUGAAAUAAAAAUCCUAAUAUCAUUAUGUUUAUAAAAAUAUAUGAGCGUAUUUUGCUCUUUAUUUGUUUGAAUGCGGUUCGUAUAUUUUUUGUAAAUUUUUACAUUGACAUUGUUUACAUCUGGCUAUCUGAGAUUAUAAAGGUUGCAGUCUUGUAAUUGACUACUCCAUUAUGGCUUAUAUGCAAAACAGCUGAUCUUUGAAAAUAGAAAAAUAAAAAAUGCUACAUAGAAAAAAAAAUUCAUGUUCAUAUCACGUACUAUGUACUAAUGUGAAAUUGUGAUUUAAUCGAGAGAAAAAAGUGGGUCUUGCCACGAAGAAUAAAAAGUUACGUAAACCUGAAGUCAAAACAAUAUUUUUCUACUUUCUUUUUGCUAUUUUUACUAGGCCGCACCACUUCCAGUAAACAUGAUAUCCUUCCAGUUUCCUGGAUUGAUAUCCCCUAAAGGAUGCAAGAUUUUUCAAAGUCUAUGUAUAUGUUUCAAUUAAGCAUAAACCCAUAAUCAAACAGAAAACAAAGAGUUCAGAAAAAAUUCAGAAAAAAUGCACGAUUUUGUUUCCCUCCAUGUUUUGACAUGCACCGGAAACUGCAGAACUUUGUAAUACAAGACUUGUACCUAUAACAAUAAUGACAUGUCUUAAAAAAAUAAAUCACUUACUUAGUUUCAUUAAGUAGCCGUAUUUGAACAUAAAAAAAUGUUAUUUAAAGAACUGUUUGGCUGUGUUAAUAAAAAUAACCCCACUAUUAAAGCAAUAUCCCUUUCUAAAAACAGGCAAAAUUUGGUAAUCAGUCAUGUCUAUCAAAUGAUCUGUAAAUCUCAUUUUAGUCUAUCUUUAUGAAUGUUUUCUUAUUAUUUGGAUACUGUGAAGCUUGAAGAGUAUUCUUAUCUAUUAUUUUUAUUUUUUUCCUUCUGUUUGAUUGAAGCACAUUCAAUAGUUUACCCCUCCCCCUUUUUUCAAUGAAAUCUACCCAAGUGGGCCUCUUGUUUAAGUCAAAAUUGAAAAAAAUACCAAAAACGUUUUCAUAUUAAAGAAUUUGCUACAAUACAACUAUCUGAACACAAGAAAGACCAUACCUUUCUCUUUUUUGACUAUGCUGGUCUUUAUACAUUUCUACUAUAUCAUGUUUUUAGACUGUACUUGACACACCAAUGCGUAUAAAAUUUAAAAUAAAAUUCAAGAAUAAUAAACAAAUUGAAACUAAACUUUGUGUAUUUGGUAAGAAUAUUGACUAUUUGUCACACCUAAUCACAAAAAUCCUUGUCAAGAAGUGGUAAUUUUAUACAUAUUCUACGUAAAUGUCAACAAUUGAGCCAUAAAAAUAUUAGCCAUAAAGAAAAAUAUUCUUUUGUAUGUAGCUGUCUCUUAAACUUUGCACUAAUUUUCAAUAAAACUGUGCAACUAGAAUUUUCCUCUCAAGAAGAAGAUUCCAUUGAAAAAUAUCUCUUCUAUGUAUGUUCUUUUUAAUUGAAAAUCAUGUAUGUAAUACCAUCAAAAUCUCAAUAUGGCUCAAACUGUUGUGCUUUGUAAUUUACUAAUAUAUAAAUACUUUUGAAUAGUGUCAAGUGUAACAAAAGCCUAAUUAUUACAUAAUUUCAUUUUUUUCAGUGUAACUUGAUACCCCAAGAUUUUUUUCUCUUCAAAAUAUCAUAUGUUCAUAUCAUGUAAGUACUAAUGUGAAAUUUGUGAUUUAAUCGAAAAAAGUUGGGCUUGCCACGAAGAAUAAAAAGUUACGUAAACCUAAGGUCAAAACAUUUUUUUUCUACUUUCUGUUUGCUACUUUUACUAGGCCGCACCACUUCCAGUAAACAUGAUAUCCUUCCACUUGCCUGGAUUGAUAUCCCCCGAAAGAUGCAAGAUUUUUUUUAAAGUCUAUAUAUAUAUUAUGUUUCAAUUCAGCAUAAACCCAUAAUCAAACAGAAAAAAUUGAGUUCAGAAAAAAAUUCAAUAUAAAAAGUGUCAAACCUUAUUUAUAACCUUUUCAGUGUUGCGAGAGCGAAGUACAAAAGUAUGUAUGAAAAGGUUCUUUGACAGAAAAAAUUGAGUUCAGAAAAAAAUUCAGAAAAAAAUGCACUAUUUGGUUUCCCUCCAUGUUUUGACAUGCACCGGAAACUGGAGUUGUAAUACAAGACUGGUACCUAAACACAUGUUAUAGUAAUCUUCGUCGCUAAUAUAUUUGAUUUUGUCGUCUGCAUUUAUUAAAAACAUAUACAGAACUAGCGUGUAGAAACAAAUAGCUUGCAUCAAGUAAUUUUAACUAGGUGCGCCACUUUGUUUAAAGUUUGUGUAAACAUGAGGUACUACAUGGGUUAAAUAUAGAAUUAAAUAAAUGUCGGAUAAUUAUAAUUUUGUUGAAACGCUAGUAUGUUGUUUGAUGAUAUAAUGAGAAAAUCAAAAAGUCAUUUUUGAUUUAGUUGUUGUCUGUUAAUUAUGAUUACGGAUGCGUUGAUUUAUUUCUUUAUUCGAUAUUAAUAUUACCUUUUGGCGUCUCGUGACAGAAUUUUGGAAUGAUUUCCAGUUCGCAUCUAUGAUUAUGAUCAGUUGCCGACACAAGUUGACACAAGACAAAAGUCACA
rnacentral:lncRNA from 1 species